AUUGAACGCUGGCGGUAUGCCUUACACAUGCAAGUCGAACGGUAGAGGAGCAAUCCUUGAGAGUGGCGAACGGGUGAGUAAUACAUCGGAACGUGCCCAGUCGUGGGGGAUAACGUAGCGAAAGCUACGCUAAUACCGCAUACGACCUGAGGGUGAAAGCGGGGGACCUGCAAGGGCCUCGCGCGAUUGGAGCGGCCGAUGGCAGAUUAGGUAGUUGGUGGGGUAAAGGCCCACCAAGCCGACGAUCUGUAGCUGGUCUGAGAGGACGACCAGCCACACUGGAACUGAGACACGGGCCAGACUCCUACGGGAGGCAGCAGUGGGGAAUUUUGGACAAUGGGCGAAAGCCUGAUCCAGCCAUACCGCGUGUGGGAAGAAGGCCUUCGGGUUGUAAACCACUUUUGUCAGGGAAGAAAUACUCUGGGCUAAUACCCUGGGGUGAUGACGGUACCUGAAGAAUAAGCACCGGCUAACUACGUGCCAGCAGCCGCGGUAAUAC
rnacentral:rRNA from 1 species